CCGAACUCAGAAGUGAAACGAUGCAUCGCCGAUGGUAGUGUGGGGUUUCCCCAUGUGAGAGUAGGUCAUCGUCAAGA
rnacentral:rRNA from 2 species